rnacentral:rRNA from 1 species
GACGAACGCUGGCGGCGUGCCUAAUACAUGCAAGUCGAACGAACCGCGACUGAGUGCUUGCACUUGGUCAAGGUGAGUGGCGAACGGGUGAGUAACACGUGGGUAACCUACCUCAUAGUGGGGGAUAACAGUCGGAAACGACUGCCAAUACCGCAUAGGACAUAGGAUCACAUGAUCCAGUGAGGAAAGGUGGCGCAAGCUAUCGCUAAGAGAUGGACCCGCGGUGCAUUAGCUAGUUGGUAGGGUAAAGGCCUACCAAGGCGAUGAUGCAUAGCCGACCUGAGAGGGUGAUCGGCCACAUUGGGACUGAGACACGGCCCAAACUCCUACGGGAGGCAGCAGUAGGGAAUCUUCCGCAAUGGACGCAAGUCUGACGGAGCAACGCCGCGUGAGUGAAGAAGGUCUUCGGAUCGUAAAGCUCUGUUGUUAGAGAAGAACAGCGCAUAGAGUAACUGCUAUGCGUGUGACGGUAUCUAACCAGAAAGCCACGGCUAACUACGUG